AGGACGAACGCUGGCGGCGUGCUUAACACAUGCAAGUCGAGCGAGGCCCUUCCUUCGGGAAGGUGUCCUAGCGGCGAACGGGUGAGUAACACGUGGGCAACCUGCCCUCAGCUCUGGGAUAACUCCGGGAAACCGGGGCUAAUACCGGAUACGACCUCUAAGGGCAUCCGAAGAGGUGGAAAGUUUUUCGGCUGAGGAUGGGCCCGCGGCCUAUCAGCUUGUUGGUGGGGUGACGGCCUACCAAGGCGACGACGGGUAGCCGGCCUGAGAGGGUGACCGGCCACACUGGGACUGAGACACGGCCCAGACUCCUACGGGAGGCAGCAGUGGGGAAUAUUGCGCAAUGGGCGAAAGCCUGACGCAGUGACGCCGCGUGAGGGACGAAGGCCUUCGGGUUGUAAACCUCUUUCAGCAGGGACGAAGCGAAAGUGACGGUACCUGCAGAAGAAGCACCGGCCAACUACGUGCCAGCAGCCGC
rnacentral:rRNA from 1 species